rnacentral:rRNA from 1 species
CCUACGGGAGGCUGCAGUGGGGAAUAUUGCACAAUGGGCGCAAGCCUGAUGCAGCCAUGCCGCGUGUGUGAAGGAGGCCUUCGGGUUGUAAAGCACUUUCAGCGGGGAGGAAGGCGUUAAGGUUAAUAACCUUGGCGAUUGACGUUACCCGCAGAAGAAGCACCGGCUAACUCCGUGCCAGCAGCCGCGGUAAUACGGAGGGUGCAAGCGUUAAUCGGAAUUACUGGGCGUAAAGCGCACGCAGGCGGUCUGUCAAGUCGGAUGUGAAAUCCCCGGGCUCAACCUGGGAACUGCAUUCGAAACUGGCAGGCUAGAGUCUUGUAGAGGGGGGUAGAAUUCCAGGUGUAGCGGUGAAAUGCGUAGAGAUCUGGAGGAAUACCGGUGGCGAAGGCGGCCCCUUGGACAAAGACUGACGCUCAGGUGCGAAAGCGUGGGGAGCAAACAGGAUUAGAUACCCUAGUAGUC